UCGGAGGGGUUUUUGGGCGCCUCAUGAGGGCAGCCCUCAGCCCCCCUCCGGUAAACCGCCGCCCGGCCGUCCUGCUGCCCUCAGGAAGCCAAGAAAGGUCCCAUCGCUCAGCGUGACCAGGUAACACCACGACCAGUCAUGAAGGCAGGAUCAUGCAUGUGAGGAAACAUCCAAAAGCUCAGGAGGUGACUGUGAGCGCAGCAAGCCAUCGCUGAUGUCCACAAUACGGCAACAACAACAACGACUGCUCCACUGCAGGCUGCACCAUGGAGCACAACCUGCUAAGCUACUUUAGAACUCGGCUAAAAGACCGGACACACCGCUCAGUGGCCUCGUUCACCGGGACGACGUAUCCACAAAAACUGCUCGAGGGACAAAGGAAAGUACCUAAAGCAGCCUCCAACCUCCCCACAUCCCGAUCGGAUUUAGCAUCUGCAGCUCCAACCUGCAACCCACAGAACCCAAAGGAUCGUCUGCUAACGUCACGGUGUGAGACAACUAGGACACCCCCAGAGAUCCCACGUCCAUGUGUUAAAGUAGCACGAGAAAUAAAGUUUAACUGAAUUUCCAGAAAUAUGCUUCAAAGUUACAGAUUCUGAGACAGUCUGAGUCAUUAAUUCUUCUGCUUUUCUGAAACAAACAAAAACCUGCAGACAGAAACUAGGCAACUUCUGAGCUGAGUUUCCUCAGGUGUUAGUCUGCAGUCUGUUUGUGUGUCCAGGAUUACGACAGACUAAGAAUAGUGAGCCCGGAAAAGCGAGACUCCCCGCGGUUCAGAUCAGAGGUGCUGAACCAAAAAAAGAAAAAGCCCAGUAACAACACUGAGCUCAAGUCCAAACACUCGUCAGCUCUGCACCUGAUUCAACACAAAUCAGAGCGCAGUACAGACGCCAGCACUGACGCCGGAGCUGCUGAGGGUCCGGUCCACGGGAUUAUGGGAUUCUUUGAUCAUUUUUAUGAACAAUGUGGAAGUUUUGCACGACGCAGCACACUCUUCAGAUUAGCGGCGUACUAAUUUCUGGAGUAAGUAACAUCAGUGUUAUACUGUGUACUGUACUUAGCCACCCAAACAGACAGAGCUACAAAAAAAACCACAAUAACAACAUGAACAGUAUAUCACAAAUAACAUAUAUCACUGUUGUGUUUGGGCUGGAAGAGCUGGUUUAAAUGUGAGAGUUAGAAAAGUUAAAAUAACAGGAAGUGUGCUCCACAGUGUCUGAAGUGAAAAGUUCUAAUUUCAUGUGUUACUUGAAAACUUUCCAUCUGUAAAGAUCUGCGUCGGUGUGACCUGAGAUUAACUAGAAAAGGUUCAAACCCCUUUGGAAAGAGUAAUUAGUGAGAAUUUUGGACUAAUUUACUUUAAUUUAUUUAAUCUCACUGUCAGCUGUUGGAUCUUUAACAAACCAAGAAACCUUGUAACUAAGGAUUCAGUUAGUUAUUCCAUGCUGUUGUAUAGGUGGUGACUAUAAACGAUAACUAUAGGUUAUCAAUGAAAUAUAUAAACAAUGUAAUGUCCCUGUCUGAAAGCACUAAAGCUGCAUUCUUUCAAAUGGCCAGCAAAUUGAUUCAGAGGAUUGUGCUUUCUAUGAACAACAAAGACUGCUUAGACCUCCACAGCAGUGCUCCUCUGACCUUUGACCCCACAGGAUCAAAGAGUCACAGCUUAAGAGCAGGAAGCAGUGUUGACAGGAAAUGCUUCAGGUCCAAACAAAACCAAGUGUCUAGUACCAACAAGGCUGCUUAAAUCCUUUUGUUUUUCAGGGCAGUGUUAGCAAGGCAUUUUGCCCGACGUCA